rnacentral:rRNA from 1 species
AUUGAACGCUGGCGGCAGGCCUAACACAUGCAAGUCGAGCGGAGCGGCGGACGGGUGAGUAAUGCCUAGGAAUCUGCCUGGUAGUGGGGGAUAACGUCCGGAAACGGGCGCUAAUACCGCAUACUAUCAGAUGAGCAUAGGGCGGAUUAGCUAGUUGGUGGGGUAAAGGCCUACCAAGGCGACGAUCCGUAACUGGUCUGAGGGGAUGAUCAGUCACAGUGGAGCUGAGACACGGUCAAGACCCCUAGGGGAGGCAGCAGCGGGGACGCGUGGGCAAUGGGCGCCAGCCUGGUCGAGCCAUGCCGGGUCUGUGAAGAAGGUCUUCGGAUUGUGAAGCACUUUAAGUUGUUAGACUUUACCCGCAGAAGCAGCACCGGCUAACUUCGUGCCAGCAGCCGCGGUAAUAC